rnacentral:tRNA from 1 species
AUAAAGAUGGCAGAAAAGUGCAUUAGAUUUAGGAUCUAAAUAUAAAGAUAAAAAUCUUUUCUUUAUA